rnacentral:lncRNA from 1 species
CAACAGGCCCCAAAACAGGCAAGUGGGGUUACACCAAACUGAAGUGCCUCUGCACAGCAAAGGACAUCAGUGACAGUGAAGAGAGAGCCCACCAAACCAGGGGACAACGCAAUGUUCUAAAAUGGAUUGUGGUCAUGGGUGCACAAUUCAGGGAGGAUACUAAAAAGCAGUUGAAUGGAGUGCUCCGUGGAUGAACUGCACGGCAUUGUGUCAGGUAAGCUCGUUUUGUGCUGCUACAAGACUUGAGAUCUGUACAACUGUACAGAGCCUCCUUUGGCCAUUGUCUAGAGGC